rnacentral:rRNA from 1 species
AGCACUGUAGGUGCCAGCAGCCGCGGUAAUACAGAGGGUGCAAGCGUUAAUCGGAAUUACUGGGCGUAAAGCGCGCGUAGGUGGUUUGUUAAGUUGGUAUGUGAAAUCCCCGGGCUCAACCUGGGAACUGCAUUCAAAACUGACAAGCUAGAGUAUGGUAGAGGGUGGUGGAAUUUCCUGUGUAGCGGUAGAAAUGCGUAGAUAAGUAAGGAACGGAACACCAGGUGGACGAAGGCGACCACCGUGGACUGAUACUGACA